rnacentral:rRNA from 1 species
CAAUAGCGUAUAUUAAAGUUGUUGCGGUUAAAAAGCUCGUAGUUGGAUUUCUGCCGAGGACGACCGGUCUCGCUUCGCGUGAGAACCUGGAUUGGCCGAAGCAUCCCUUGGUGUGAGUGUUCGCGUCUGAAACCGCAGCAUGAGCUCCAGGGCAUUUACUUUGAGGAAAUUAGAGUGUUUCAAGCAGGCGUCUGCCUUGAAUACAUUAGCAUGGAAUAAUAGGAUAGGACUCCAGUCCUAUUUUGUUGGUUCUUGGGACUGCAGUAAUGAUUAAUAGGGACAGUCGGGGGCAUUCGUACUUAACAGUCAGAGGUGGAAUUCUUGGAUUUGUUAAAGACGAACUACUGCGAAAGCAUUUGCCAAGGAUGUUUUCAUUGA